rnacentral:rRNA from 1 species
UACGUAGGGUGCAAGCGUUGUCCGGAAUCAUUGGGCGUAAAGCGCACGUAGGCGGUUCGUUAUGUCGGAUGUGAAAGCCCUUGGCUUAACCGAGGAAGUGCAUCCGAAACUGGCGAGCUAGAGUACGAAAGAGGAUCGCGGAAUUCCCGGUGUAGAGGUGAAAUUCGUAGAUAUCGGGAGGAACACCGGUGGCGAAGGCGGGUCU